rnacentral:rRNA from 1 species
AUUGAACGCUGUCGGCAGGCCUAACACAUGCAAGUCGCGCGAGCGGCGGACGGGUGAGUAAUGUAUGGGGACUGCCCGAUAGAGGGGGAUAACUACUGGAAACGGUAGCUAAUACCGCAUACUAUCGGAUAACCCAUAUGGGAUAAGCUAGUUGGUGAGGUAAUGGCUAAACAAGGCGACGAUCCCUAGCUGGUCGGAGAGGAUGAUCAGCCAUACUGUGACUGAGACACGGCCCAGACUCCUACGGAGGAAGCAUUGGGGAAUAUUGCACAAUGGGCGCAAGCCUGAUGAAGCCAGGCCGCGUGUAUGAAGAAGGCCUUAGGGGUGUAAAGAACUUUCAGCUGGGAGUCGUGACCCGCAGAAGAAGCACCGGCUAACGCCGUGCGAGCAGCCGCGGUAAUAC